rnacentral:rRNA from 1 species
CCUACGGGUGGCUGCAGUGAGGAAUAUUGGUCAAUGGGCUUACGCCUGAACCAGCCAAGUCGCGUGAGGGAAGAAUGCCCUAUGGGUUGUAAACCUCUUUUGUCAGGGAGCAACGCCGGCUACGUGUAGCCUGACGGAGAGUACCUGAAGAAAAAGCAUCGGCAAACUCCGUGCCAGCAGCCGCGGUAAUACGGAGGAUGCGAGCGUUAUCCGGAUUGAUUGGGUUUAAAGGGUGCGUAGGCGGAAUGCCAAGUCAGCGGUAAAAUCGCGGGGCUCAACCUCGCUCCGCCGUUGAAACUGGCGGUCUUGAGUGGGCGAGAAGUAUGCGGAAUGCGUGGUGUAGCGGUGAAAUGCAUAGAUAUCACGAAGAACUCCGAUUGCGAAGGCAGCAUACCGGCGCCCAACUGACGCUGAAGCACGAAAGCGUGGGUAUCGAACAGGAUUAGAUACCCUUGUAGUC